rnacentral:rRNA from 1 species
GACGUAGGGCGCGAGCGUUGUCCGGAUUUAUUGGGCGUAAAGAGCUCGUAGGCGGCUUGUCGCGUCGAAUGUGAAAACUCGGGGCUCAACUCCGAGCUUGCAUUCGAUACGGGCAGGCUAGAGUUCGGUAGGGGAGGCUGGAAUUCCUGGUGUAGCGGUGAAAUGCGCAGAUAUCAGGAGGAACACCGGUGGCGAAGGCGGGUCUCUGGGCCGAUACUGACGCUGAGGAGCGAAAGCGUGGGGAGCGAACAGG